UGAUACCAGCCUGAGCCAACAAAGUGAGACCCUGUCUCUCUCCAAAAAAAUACGAAAAUUAGCCGGGCGUGGUGGAGGGAGCCUUGGAAGGCAUUGGAGAUAAACCAGCAGAACCACGUUGGCUUUGGACACCCGGGUUCGCUGCAAGGUUCUAAAGUGGCCAGAUGCCGCCCCCUGGUGGCUGGCAAGGCUACUUACAACCCUCACUGACCUGCUAGACAGCCCACAAGCUAGAACUGGAGGGGGCCCACCCCCAACUGUGAGCAAAGUGGGGGUUCAUUUGAGGCUACGAGUUGGGGCAAACGACUUCCCUGGGCAUGAGGCUUUUGAGCCUGUCAAGUGCCUCCCUUAUCGCAGAAGAGCAAACAGGUGCAUGAAGGGGAAACAACUUUGGAGAAAGGGGUGGCUUGGGGACCCCAUCCGCAGUUUUGCUUUCUGCUGAUUUUUCAGUCUUCUCCUAUUUUCCUUUUCCUUAAUUUUUUUGAUU
rnacentral:lncRNA from 1 species